rnacentral:misc_RNA from 1 species
UUUUUUUUUUUUUUUUAUAACUCACGGUUUCUUCUUUUAUACAAGACAAGUGGGAUAAUACAAUGUGAGCUCAAUUUGGCAGUUGAUAUGCCCUAACAGUGUACCCAUUUCUACAAAUAUACCAGAGCAUUGAGCGGCAAAAAUAUACUGCUUCCUCUCCAUUGUGGACUUUUGAGCUGAAAUAACACAUCUAGUUUCAUGCUCUGCCAAACCUAAUCCAGUUCAUGUGUACCAGAUGAUUAGUUCUGCAAAUCUUCCUGUAAUGUAAACUUCUAAUGUUC